rnacentral:lncRNA from 1 species
UCAACUAUCGUCAAACAAAACCGGAACCAACUGAACAACUACCUAAAGAGAGAUAGUUAGGUGUUCGUGCGUUGCUACACUUUUUAUAUAUCAAAUAAUUAGACAUUGUUUAAAUGAAGUUUGCUACUACUCCAAACCUAAGCACCUGGCUAGAAUGCCUGCAGACUAUUGAUGCAGUAGCAGUUCAACUCAUAAGUAGCAAACAUUUUUUUUCAUAGGCCCAACACGCUUAAUAGUAAACUCAUGCAAAAGAAUCUCAAAACAACAAUGCACACCUCAUGCAUUUCAUUCGGUUCACAAACUAUGGCUCCGGUAGAAAAUGGAUUUGCUUGUUUCUGAUGAAAGCAUCCUGCAAAAUUAAUACCAUUAAAAGUAUGUCUCAGGUGUGUAGCAGCAAACAUACAAUAAGAUAAAACAAUGGUGGAGUAUUUCUUGUAUUACCUGAAUAUAUACGCGUUCACCUUUCCAGUUGUCAUCAUUUCAUUCGGUCCACAAAGUAUGGCUCCUGUAGAAGAUGGAUUUAUUGUGUUCUUGCUUCUGAAGAAUGCAUGUCACAAAUUUAAUAUCAUUAAAAGGAUGUCUUGGGUGUGUAGCAACAAACAUGCAAUAAAGAUAACACAAUGGUGGAGUAUUUCUUGUAUUACCUAAACAUAUCCUCAUUCACCUUUCCAACUGUCAUUUAGCUAAGGCUGGUAUUAUUUUAAUUCCAGUUGACUCCCAAUUACUGAGUCAUUCUUGUCAAACAGAAAGUUAUAUAUCUUUCUUAUGUGAGCUAAAGGCUUAUCUGACAAAUACACGGUUUGCAUACAACACAUAGGGGAAUUUUCUCCAACCUAGUAUGCCAUAGAUUGCAGACCUGUAUCACCAUGAUAAAGCCUCACAUCCGCUCUUUCAUUGGUAGUAAAAGCAAACUCGACAAGUGAAUGAAAUCAUGAAUCGCAGUGAAAAAAUACAGAAGAAUAAUUUGAGCAAGAUUAGAGGAGGCCCAAAACUUAAGAGUAGAAGUGCUUCGACUUAUCAUGAGGAACAACAAGAAGUGGCUUCUGCUACUCAUCACAGCAGCAACAGAGACCAACUCCGCUCUAGGAUGGUAAAACAAUGUCCAAUCUUAUUUGUUGAUUGAGCAAAAAGCAAUGUUUCCUUCAUUUAAAAGUAACUAUCAAUUCCAGUGUCAUCAAAGAGUUCCUCAGUUCGAAUGUGAGAGGUACCAAAUAACUCUUCGUAAUUCUCAAAUGUCAUGUUAGCAUGACCACACAUAAGUCUUCAUAAAUGGCAUCAUUGAACUUAUUGUCAUCUCUAGUAUAAGGUACCUGAGAGUAUAACCAGCAUCUGAUAAGAAUACAACGGUAAUAGAUUGUAUUUUUCUUAAAAAUGGCUGAUGAUAAUCAAGAUCUGAAAAUUCUGAACCAAUGCAACUUGCAACUGUCCACUGACACAAAUGUAUUCAAUAACUUGUUUCAAAAAUGAAAUUUUCAUUGUAAAAUAAAGCUACUUGAGAAUUGAGAGCCCAACAGGAAAAAACAUACAGACUGUUAAAUAGAGAAAAAUGGAUCAUCACUAAGGAAUAAAUUCCAUGUGCUACUUUCCUGAAGAUAAACAAUAAAUGAAUUGUGUUGAUGCAAGACUGAAAUAGUAACCAAGCUACAUGACUCUUAUUGUCUUAUAUUCAUAUGAGAAUAUUCUUUAUUUUAUAUGUUUAAGUAACUUGCAUGCCAUAACAACAAGUCUUUUGACAUGCAAAAACAAAGCACAAAGUUAAGGAAUAUUCUUGUAGGAAAAUAUGAAAAGGCACAUCACACCUUAGGUGUCGCUGAAACUGGUCCAACAGGCUGAUCUGUGGCUAGAGGCAGCACAUCAAACCCAUCACCAGAAGAAGAGCCUAUUAGAGGUUUAAGCUUGUCGGUUAAAGGUGGAUCGAUCAUGAGUGUUGUGUUAGUUAUUUCCAACAAUCUUUUUUCAUCUGAAGGACCGUGAUGAUUAGUCACAUCACUGUCAUCAAUUGUCAUCAUGCAUUACUGCUUAGGACAUAUCGACCUUGCAGAACACCAACGAAUUUUAGAGCACGAUGGUGUCGAGUCGAAGGCUUGCUGGAAAAAGUGCAUGUCGAUCACACAGACGAGGAUCCCACGCUCGUCGACGACCAGAAGAGUAGCUCCUUUAUUUUUGUUCUCUGAACCUCAGCAACUUUGAUGAAUUUGUCACCACUCAAGGGAUCGACUAUCCAAUUCCAGUUAGCAAAUGCAGAUGAUGUCUAGCUGCCCUGCACUGAACCAUCAUGGUUGAGACAGAGAUAACUCAAGGCUAGAUCUGCAUUGUGCAUCUAAAUGCAUAGGUAAAACAACAUAUCUUCUUCCAUCAGAAAGUGUGACACACACAUGUUGCCAGGAGGACAGUCACACGGUUCCCUACUGAUACAUGUGUAAUCAAACUACAUGGGUAUUUCAAACCUAAUAACAUGUAUUGUGUUCAAUCAUGCAUCAAGGCUUCUAUGCUUUAAGUCAUUGCAGCUCCAACCUUACAUCACACUGACAUGGGCCACCGUGGCGAACUUCAACAAAGAGAGCCCCGGAGGAGGUUCGCUUAAACAAUUUAGGCAGAAUGGUAGCUGCAAAUAAUGAACAAAAACCUAACAAAACCGUGCAAGGGUGGAUUGUCAGGGGUCUACUCAACUAUCGUCAAACAAAACCGGAACCAACUGAACAACUACCUAAAGAGAGAUAGUUAGGUGUUCGUGCGUUGCUACACUUUUUAUAUAUCAAAUAAUUAGACAUUGUUUAAAUGAAGUUUGCUACUACUCCAAACCUAAGUGUUAGAGGUAGACAGAGUGUUUUGCCGGGGGUUAUAACCUCAGCUAUCAUUGCUUGAUUAUAUAGAAAAAUAAGUCACAUUGAUUACAUAACAGCUCAUUAGAGCUUAGCUAAUCUGAUAGGAGCCUUGGCAGCCGCACACACCUGUUGAGCUGCUCAAGGUCUUUAAUGACUAUAAUUAACUAGCACAAGUAACUAGGAGAAUGCUUAGGAAACAGGACAUGCUUAGGAAACAGGACUUAAUAACAACAUUUCUCCCCCUAAGGCAUGUUUCAACUGAUUUUGAUCUCCUUGAUCCCAAUUCUGCUUCUCAUAUCUUCCAACUUGGUCUUGCCCAAGGCUUUGGUCAGUAUAUCAGCAAGCUGAUCUGCAGUGGGAAUAAAUUCUGUUUUAAUGCUACCUUCUUCCACACAGUCCCUGAUGAAGUGAUGCUUGAUUCUAAUAUGUUUGCUCCUGUCAUGGAAAACAGGAUUCUUUGCCAAAGCUAGAGCGGAUUUAUUGUCUACUCUAAGUUCCACCACCUCAACUUCUCUUCCCAAUAAUUUUGCAAACAGCCUUGACAACCACAAGGCUUGGGUUGCAGCUGUUGUCAUUGCCACAUAUUCAGCCUCACAGCUUGACAAGGCAACAACUCUCUGCUUGAUAGAUUGCCAGCUGACCAGACUGUUUCCAAGGAAAAACAAACAUCCAGUAGUGCUUUUACUUGUAUCAAUAUCUCCAGCCAAGUCUGAGUCACUAUAACCCACAAAUCUAGCCUUGCCUGUCAUUCUAGUAUAGCAUAGCCCAUGAUCUAGAGUACCAGCCACAUAUCUCAAGAUUCUUUUUACAGCCUGAAGAUGUUCAGUUGUUGGCUUCUCCAGAAAUCUGCUAACAUACCCUACAGCAAAAGCCAAAUCUGGCCUUGUGUGCACUAGAUAUCUCAGGCUACCAACUAGUCUUCUAUACUGAGUUGGAUUUACCUCCUUUGCUGUACUUUCCUUGCUCAGUUUCAACCUUUCUUCCAUGGGGGUGGUGGCUGGAUUACAGUCUGCCAUACCACCGAGCUCAAGUAUCUUCUUAGCAUAAUGAGUCUGUUUCAGAGUAAUGCUUCCCUCUAAUUGUCUUACCUCAACCCCAAGAUAGAAAGACAACAGACCCAAAUCACUCAUUUCGAAUGUCUGCUUCAUUUUUGCCUUGAAAACUUCAAUCUUCUGCUGAUUGACUCCAGUGAUGAUUAAAUCAUCAACAUAGACUCCAAUUACCAGCAAAGAAUCACCUGAGCCUUUCCUGUACAUGGCAGCCUCAUAUACAUUCUGCUCAAAACCCAUCUGCUUGAGAGUCAAAUCAAGUUUGGCAUUCCAAGCCCGAGGAGCCUGUCUUAGGCCAUACAAUGCAUUGUGUAACCUGUACACUUUCUUCUCUUCUCCUGAUACUUCAAAGCCUGGUGGCUGAGUAACAUAAACCUCUUCCUUGAGUUCUCCAUUCAGAAAUGCAGACUUCACAUCCAUGUGAUGUACUGCCCAACCUUCUUGUGCUGCUAGAGCAAGUAAAACACGUACUGAUUCCAUUCUUGCAACUGGUGCAAAGGCAUCUUCAUAGUCAAUCCCUUCCUUCUGAACAAAGCCACGGGCCACAAGUCUUGCCUUGUGUCUGAUCACAGCACCAUGUUCAUCCUUCUUCAAUUUAAACACUCACUUCAAUGAAAUUGGGCGAUGACCUGGACUAGGAGUAACAAGUUCCCAAGUCCCAUUCCGCUCAACUGAGCUCAGCUCUUCCUUCAUUGUUGCCUGCUAAUCUGGGUCAUCUUUGGCCUCUUCAUAGCUUGUGGGCUCACCAGCAUGAGUGAGGUUCAGUUCUGCAAACAACCUUUGUGCCGGCAAAGGGGUUGGCUGAUUACCAAUAAUAUCAUGGAUCUUCCUAUAAUGAAGCUCUUCACCAUCAUGAUAAGCAUCCACCCUUUCACUAUCAUUCUCCAGAGGAGUCACAUGCUCUAUCUGCGGGCUUGCUGGAGCUGGUGUAGGUGUUCUAGGCGACACAUGCACUUCUGUCUCCACUGCGGAUUCCUCUGCUUCUGCUGCAGACUCUCCUGCACUCACCAAAGGGAGACUAGGUGAUGUAGGAUGUGGCUGAAGAGGUGGUGAGGGUAACACUGAACUUUCUGCUUCAGAAAACUCUUCUGCCCAUGGAAACUCAACAACAAAAUCGCUGUCUGCUGCCUCUGAAGUACCUGCUGCCGCUGAUGCCCAGUCCCAGCCACGUCCUUCAUCAAAUACCACAUCACGGCUGACUCGCACGCGCUGGGACACUGGAUCAAAUACACGAUAUGCCUUGGCCCCUUCUGCAUAGCCAAUGAACACUCCAGCCUUACCACGAUCAUCAAGUUUCUGGAGCUGAGUAAGCCGCCGGGUAUAAGCCACGCAGCCAAAUACCUUGAGAUGGCCAACUGUUGGUGCCCGGCCAUGCCAUGCCUCAUACGGAGUGACAUUCUUCAGUGCCUUUGUUGGAGAGCGAUUCAGAAUGUGCACAGCCGUCAUCACAGCCUCCCCCCAAAACCGAGAAGGCAUCCGGCGUUGCUUGAGCAGAGCUCGUGCCAUGGCCACCACAGUUUGAUUCCUGCGCUCAACCACACCAUUCUGUUGCGGUGAAUAAGGAGCACUGAAAUGCCUUUUAAUACCUUCAUUGGCGCAGUAUGCGGCGAACUCCGCGACGGUGAAUUCCCCGCCAUUGUCGGUGCGCAGGACCUUCAACUUGCGCCCACUUUCCACCUCUGCUGCCGCCUUGAUCUUCUUGAUUGCUUCCGCCGCUGCGUCCUUGGAUGGCAGCAACACAGCCCACAUAAAACGGGUGGCAUCAUCGACGAGCAGCAGGAUGUAGCGGUUGCCCGCCGGUGUCGCUGGCGUGACUGGGCCGCACAGAUCACCGUGCACCAAUUCGAGUUGAUUCUGGGCACGAUAUGCUGCUGCGGCCGGAAAAGAGCGUCGCCUCUGCUUCGUGGUGACACAAGUGUCACAUACCUGCUCCACAUGAUCGACCACCGGCAUCCCACACGCCAUCUCCUCCUUGCUGAGUCGCCGGAGUGCAUCGAAGUUCAGAUGGCCGAAACGUUCGUGCCACUGCCAUGCCUCAACAUCCUUGCGCGCCGCGAGACAGAUAGGUUGUGCAGCCUCGAGGUGCAAAAUGUACAACCUGUUCUUCCCUCGAUGUACCUUGGCCAGCAAUCGGUGAUAAUUGUCCCAAAUGUGGAGCACGCCAUGGUUAAUUACAACCUUGGACCCUCCUUCAUCAAGCUGUCCCAAACUUAGUAUGGAGUUCUUCAGCGCUGGAAUGUAGUAAACGCCGUGAAGAACUCUCUGCUCACCGGUCUUGGCUUGAAAAAUGAUAGAUCCAACUCCCUUGAUUUCCACCUUCGAUGCAUCCCCGAACCGGACCGUUCCUCGAACGCCAGUGUUCAGAUCAGCAAAGAGUUCUUGACGCCCGGUCAUGUGAUGUGUUGCGCCAGAGUCUAGGUACCAACCGUUGUCCAUAUCUUCUUCAUCCACGCCAAGGUAGGCACAGGCACGUGGCUCAGAGAGCUCGACAUGCUGCGCCGUGUAGCUGUGCGCCGGCGUGCUCUGUUCCAGGCUGAUAAAGUCAUGUGCCAGAAACAGAGCACCAUCUUCUUCACAUUCGGCGUACUGGACGCGCGCCUCAUGCCUUCCUUGGUUCCCGCCACGCUGUCCAGCCUGAUUUCCGCCGUCGCGACCUCCACCACGGUUGCCACCGCCGCGGCCAGCACGGUUUCCACCGCCACCGCCGCGCUCUGCAUCCUCACGGCGCGGCUGCGGACACUCACGUGCCCAGUGGCCUUCCUGGUUGCAGUUGAGGCAGGUGUUGGGGCCGACACGGCCAGCAACAUUGUCGUCUCCUCGUCCGCCACCACGUCCACCUCCUCUGCCUCGUCCUCGUCCACCACCGCGGCUGCGUCCACCGCCACCGCGCUGGUUCCUGGAACCAGAGCCACAUGCAUCGUCUCCCUUCUUCUCCUUUCUGCAUCGCGCUUUCCACUGCUCCUCAGUGUACAACAGCUUGCCAUUGAUGGACACCGGCUCGGUCAGUAUUUGUUCUUCGCGAUUGUCCACCGCCUUAAGCCUUCCAGUCACCUCCUCAAGAGUCAGUGCCUCAAAAUCAAGGAACUGCUCAAUGGCGACGACGAUCUGCGAGUACUUGGCCGGCACCGUGCGCAGGAAUUUCUCCACCACGCGCUCCUCGGUGAUGUCCCUAUCGCCAUGGAUGACAAGCUGCUGGUGCAGAGUUGACAACCGCACAGCAAAGUCAUCCACUUGCUCACCAGGAUUGACGCUGAUGUUCUCCCAAUCACGGCGUAGGCGCUGCAGCGUUGCUCGACGGACCCUGACCACGCUGAUGCGGGUCGCAGCGAUGGCGUCCCACGCCUCCUUCGCCGUAGCCUUGUCGAGCAGUGGGAGACCCAUCUCCUUGGGUACAGCCCCGACGAUCACCUCCAGUGCGCGUCUGUCAUCGCGGAACUGGACAGGGCCGCCUUCAAUGGCGUCCCAGAGAUCGCGCGCCUGCAUCCUCAGCUUCAUAGUCUGGCUCCACUCGUAGUAAUUCGUCUUGUCCAGCAUCGGCCACGCCGUGCCGCUGCCGGAGUCGUGGUACACCACCCUUCCUUGCGGCGACUCGUAGCGACCACCGCCGCGGCAGCGCCUCCGGUCCCGCAGUGGUGACUGCGAACGCCUCCGGUCUCGCGGAGGAGUCCGCGGCCUACGAUUCCUCUCCAUCUCCUCUUCCUCUUCAUCGACCUCCUCAUCUUCUCCCUUCUCGGCGGCGAUUUCAGCCCGCAGCUCCUGCGUCGUCCUUGCCGCUGCCUCUGCUGCAGCCGCUGCCUGCUUUGCUGCCUGGACUGCCAGCGCCGCUGCUUCCUCUGCAGCCUUCAGGCGUGCAGCACGGCUGGAGAAGUCGCCCAGCUCUCCUUCACUGGUUCCCUUGGCCUUGAGCCUGGCAGCGCGCUCAGCAGAGGUCGACAUGAGUAGAGAAGAGAGGAGUCGGCUUUGAGACUCUCAGGUGUCUAACCUAAGCUCCGAUACCAAAUGUUAGAGGUAGACAGAGUGUUUUGCCGGGGGUUAUAACCUCAGCUAUCAUUGCUUGAUUAUAUAGAAAAAUAAGUCACAUUGAUUACAUAACAGCUCAUUAGAGCUUAGCUAAUCUGAUAGGAGCCUUGGCAGCCGCACACACCUGUUAAGCUGCUCAAGGUCUUUAAUGACUAUAAUUAACUAGCACAAGUAACUAGGAGAAUGCUUAGGAAACAGGACAUGCUUAGGAAACAGGACUUAAUAACAACACUAAGCACCUGGCUAGAAUGCCUGCAGACUAUUGAUGCAGUAGCAGUUCAACUCAUAAGUAGCAAACAUUUUUUUCAUAGGCCCAACACGCUUAAUAGUAAACUCAUG